rnacentral:lncRNA from 1 species
GUGUCUGUGCUACUAAAAAGUUGCUGUAGGCCGGUGGUGGCGUUGCUGGUGACCUGGUGGUGGCAUCCUCCCUUGUCUUGUCUUGCUGUGUCCCUUGGAGUGGGUUUUUCUUCACUGAGAGUGUGUCUGCCACGUGUGCCCGGUGACUUAAGUUUGUUUCUUUAUUUUGGUGGAUUCCUCCCCUGCACUAGCCUUCGUCCAUCCACUUCGGCCUCAGCCCUGAUUAGUUGCUGUAGGCCGGUGGUGGCGUUGCUGGUGACCUGGUGGUGGCAUCCUCCCUUGUCUUGUCUUGCUGUGUCCCUUGGAGUGGGUUUUUCUUCACUGAGAGUGUGUCUGCCACGUGUGCCCGGUGACUUAAGUUUGUUUCUUUAUUUUGGUGGAUUCCUCCCCUGCACUAGCCUUCGUCCAUCCACUUUGGCCUCAGCCCUGAUUAGGUUUGUUUUUUGUGUGAAUGAGUUAAUUGAUUUUUAAGAAUAUAUUAAAAUAAAAUGCAUUUUAAAACUUUGAACCACGUCUCUCGCCUUUAAGUAACUACGAACCUGUGUGCCUUGCGUAAGAAAAUAAUUCUCUGGGUGAAAUUCCCAGGGUGGCGUUGUUGAGCUUUUAGUAUUUUUCCUUUCUUUUCACCUCCUCCUUGCCACAAGAUGGAGAAAUAUCUUGAGAUACAGAAAAAAAGAAUAACAGAGACACAGAGCAACAAAAACAGAACAGAGUCAUGCAUUUUAUUCUGACAGCCUCAUCAGGCUUACUUUUGCUGCAUUUUAGACUGGGCUGUCACGACAUUUUUUUCAGUGAAAGACCAGAAUCUCUGCCCCCAAAAAUUACUUUUUGUCUGGUCCAUAAACUGAAAUAAUCUAACAUGUGUCCACUUUCCCCACAACAAUUGUUUUUGCAUACCUUCACCAGUGUGCUUGACAUGAUAAAUCAUCUGAUAAGCACACAAUGACAUAGUAACUGACCACUAAAGAGAUCGCCUAUGCAGCACGCAUCUCACUCUGCCCCCUGUACAGUGGGCUCUCUAUUUGAGAACUCAG